rnacentral:misc_RNA from 1 species
GAUGAAGAACGCAGCGAAAUGCGAUAAGUAGUGUGAAUUGCAGAAUUCAGUGAAUCAUCGAAUCUUUGAACGCACAUUGCGCUUCCUGGUAUUCCGGGGAGCAUGCCCGUUUCAGAAUCAUAGAAAAUCUCAUGUUGCUCCUAGCGACGCAUAGCCUAGCGAUGCAUAGAUUUGCAAUGCUGGAGUAGCAUGGACGUUGGAUGUUUUGUCGAAUGUAGGCAAUCAUCUUUAAAUGAACAUGUGUGCCGCAAUCUCUGUGUCGGUUGCGAUCAAAGUGCAACAGCUAGUUCUAUUCUCUUUGAUCGAGCGAUGGACCAGAAUUCUGGACACCAUACCUAAACACAGCUGAGGGUGCUCUGGCAUCAGUGGCUGAUAACUUGGUCUGAAAUCGGGCAAGAAAACCCGCUGAACUUAAGCAUAUCAAUAAGCGGAGGA